rnacentral:rRNA from 1 species
GACGAACGCUGGCGGCGUGCUUAACACAUGCAAGUCGAGCGGUAAGGCCCUUCGGGGUACACGAGCGGCGAACGGGUGAGUAACACGUGAGCAAUCUGCCCUCCACAUCGGGAUAACCCCCGGAAACGGGAGCUAAUACCGGAUACGACCACUUCAGGCAUCUGAUGGUGGUGGAAAGUUCUGGCGGUGGAGGAUGAGCUCGCGGCCUAUCAGCUUGUUGGUGGGGUAAUGGCCCACCAAGGCUUCGACGGGUAGCCGGCCUGAGAGGGUGACCGGCCACACUGGGACUGAGACACGGCCCAGACUCCUACGGGAGGCAGCAGUGGGGAAUAUUGGACAAUGGGCGAAAGCCUGAUCCAGCAACGCCGCGUGAGGGAUGACGGCCUCGGUUGUAA